AUUGAACGCUGGCGGCAUGCCUUACACAUGCAAGUCGAACGGUAACAGGGUGCUUGCACCGCUGACGAGUGGCGAACGGGUGAGUAAUGCGUCGGAACGCACCGAGUAAUGGGGGGUAACGCAGCGAAAGCUGUGCUAAUACCGCAUACGCUCUGAGGAGGAAAGCGGGGGACCUUCGGGCCUCGCGUUAUUCGAGCGGCCGACGUCUGAUUAGCUAGUAGGUGAGGUAAGAGCUCACCUAGGCGACGAUCAGUAGCGGGUCUGAGAGGAUGAUCCGCCACACUGGGACUAAGACACGGCCCAGACUCCUACGGGAGGCAGCAGUGGGAAAUUUUGGACAAUGGGCGCAAGCCUGAUCCAGCCAUGCCGAGUGUCUGAAGAAGGCCUUCGGGUUGUAAAGGACUUUUGUCAGGGAGGAAAUCCUUAGCGCUAAUACCGUUGAGGGAUGACAGUACCUGAAGAAUAAGCACCGGCUAACUACGUGCCAGCAGCCGCCGUAA
rnacentral:rRNA from 1 species